AUCUUCCUUGAUGCAAGAAGAUGGUGAGUGAUGCUGCUAAAUAUGAAGAGUAAGGCAGAGAAGACGAAACCGGCAGCAGGGGGAGAACUGUAGCUUUUCACAGCCACAGGCUACUUGCAUUACAGAACAUAGUGAAGCCACUCCUCUUCUAGUGCAGACCUACCGGAAGCCUGGCCCAGAACGUCACUCUUCUAGUGGUUAGAAACCUUUUUUUCUGAUACCCAGCAAAGAGAUAUUGUCAUAUAAGCUUGGUGCUAUGUUUGUGUUUCAGAACCACUGAAAGAGAUCCCAGGAUUUUAACCAUGUACAGCUAACUGGAGACAAGUGAGGAACUGGCAUUGCUAAUUCUUUUUGCUUCACCA